GCGACCCCAGGUCAGGCGGGACUACCCGCUGAGUUUAAGCAUAUCAAUAAGCGGAGGAGAAGAAACUUACAAGGAUUCCCCUAGUAACGGCGAGCGAACCGGGAUCAGCCCAGCUUGAGAAUCGGGCGGCUUUGUCGUCCGAAUUGUAGUCUGUAGAAGCGUCCUCAGCGACGGACCGGUCCCAAGUCCCCUGGAAGGGGGCGCCAGAGAGGGUGAGAGCCCCGUCGUGUCCGGACCCUGUCGCACCACGAGGCGUUGUCGGCGAGUCGGGUUGUUUGGGAAUGCAGCCCUAAUUGGGCGGUAAAUUCCGUCCAAGGCUAAAUACUGGCGAGAGACCGAUAGCGAACAAGUACCGCGAGGGAAAGAUGAAAAGGACUUUGAAAAGAGAGUCAAAGAGUGCUUGAAAUUGUCGGGAGGGAAGCGGAUGGGGGCUGGCGAUGCGCCUAGGUCGGAUGCGGAACGGUGNNGAGCCGGUUCGCCGCUCGACUCUAGACGUGGACCGAUGCGGAUUAUGACGGUGGCCCAAGCCCGAGCCGUUUACGUGCUUGUGGAUACGUCAUCGUCAUGAUUGURGUGGGCAGCGUGCGCCUUCGGCGUGCUUAUUGCAACUGCGCGCUCUCGGCAUCGGCCUGUAGGCUCCCCAUUCGGCCCGUCUUGAAACACGGACCAAGGAGUCUGACAUGUGUGCGAGUCAACGGGUAAGUAAACCCGUAAGGCGCAAGGAAGCUGAUUGGUGGGAUCCCCUUGUGGGUUGCACCGCCGACCGACCUA
rnacentral:rRNA from 1 species